rnacentral:ncRNA from 2 species
CAUUGCAGCCGUGUUGCCGGUUUCCGUUCAUUCGGAACUAAGAGGGAAUCCUGUUCAAUGCAGGAGCUGUCCCCGCAGCUGUAAACUCAAAGCCCCUCCAACUCCCCAAAAGGGAGGGCUGGGACAAAUUUUCGAACAAUAUUUUGCCACUGUUCCUUUUAACCGGGAUGGGAAGGCAGUUCGAAAAUCCGAGUGAGCCAGAAGACCUGCCUGCAACGAGAAGCUUUC